rnacentral:rRNA from 1 species
GACGAACGCUGGCGGCGUGCUUAACACAUGCAAGUCGAACGGAAAGGCCCUGCUUUUGUGGGGUGCUCGAGUGGCGAACGGGUGAGUAACACGUGAGUAACCUGCCCUUGACUUUGGGAUAACUUCAGGAAACUGGGGCUAAUAUCGGAUAGGAGCUCCCGCUGCAUGGUGGGGGUUGGAAAGUUUCGGCGGGUGGGGAUGGACUCGCGGCUUAUCAGCUUGUUGGUGGGGUAGUGGCUUACCAAGGGAUUGACGGGUCGCCGGCCUGAGAGGGUGACCGGCCACAAUGGGACUAAGAUAGGGCCCAGACGGCUACGGGAGGCAGCAGUGGGGAAUAUGGCACAAUGAGCGGAAGCCUGAGGCAGCAACGCCGCGUGCGGGAUGACGGCCUUCGGGUUGUAAACCGCUUUCGCCUGUGACGAAGCUGGAGUGACGGUAAUGAGUAAAGAAGCACCGGCUAACUACGUG